AAUGGAGAAAUGUUUUUUUCUUCUGCAUAACACAUUAGUAAAUUCUAUCCUGUAAGAGGAACUCAGACUACACAGUUAACACAGAUUACUGCAGGCCCUGGUAAGAGUGGCUGCUGAGGGGUCUGGUAUUGCUGCCUGUAAACUAUGCAAGUGUCCCCAAGAAGGAGAGUAUUCUCCAGGCUGCAACAGAGAUCCUCAGGGCAGGACAGACAUCUCCAUCCUUAUAAAUGACCGCUCCAGGUGAUCUCUACUGUCCUGUCCUAGUGUCCAGAGUGCCUCUGGUGUAGCAGAGAAGGAAGUCUUAGAGAAGGAAGCCCAGAUUCUUUCAUGGACCAUGCCUUCUGUCUGUCAAAGAUACAGCGAGGGCCUGAAGCAGCUUUCCACAAACAGUCCCACCUCCUCCAAUCAUCUCCCUACCAAGAAACCAGAGACCUUCAAACAAGCCAGCUUAGUCCUUCUCCUAGCUCUAAAGCUAUCACAGAAUGUUCAGACUAACACUGUUGCUCCUACUUCAUCUCUACUGCCACCCCUCACUAGCCCCUUCCAGUUUCCGUGCCAUUCCUAAAGGAGCCACAGGCCCCUUGUCCCAGGAGGGCUUGCCUAGAAGGUCACUCCUCAGAGAAGCCCUCCAGCGUUUUCCUUUCAUAUUAGUUGGUCCCACUUUUUAUCCAAGCACCUAUGAGUUCUCAGGACCUUCUCAUCCACACACGUCCCUUCCCUUGCAGGAAGGCUCAGGCCACUGCCCUGCCUCGUGCACGUAUAAUCUACCAAGCCUGGAUUCCUCUCUAGUGGCCCCCAGUCUAGAAUUACAGCCAGGGCACCAGCCUGCUUCUGGAACAAGUGUUAGCAUUUUGCUCACAGCAGCUCUGGAAAUUAGAUGCUAGCCCCAAACCCCGUGAUUCAGUCAGCAGCUUGAGAAGGCUGGGUCAGGAACACAGGGCUCUCCUUUCUUCUGAGAGAUAGCAGUUUUCCAAAGGCUGGGGCCACUGAGGAGAGCUGAGUGGCAGGCCUGAGAACUGACCUGCAUGCUGGAAGCCAACCCUCCAUGGCACCGUGCCAACGGUGACACUUAGCGAACCAGGCAAUUGCCCAGCUUUGGAAAGGAGGUGCCACCUAGCUCUGGGAUUGUGGUGUAGCUAGUGCUGGGAUGGGAUUGGACUUUCCUUUUCAGAACAAAGACAAACACACUCCUCUGGGAAGCCCAUCCUGGGAGAGACUGUGUGUAUCAGAGGCCCCACUUCCGUGCCAAGUAUUCAAAGCCCGUGGCCUGGCUUGCUUGCUCUAGCAGUUCCUGGCAGAGGACAUGGGCAUUCUCCAGCUUGGAAAUUUAAUUGCCUACCAUAGCCAUGAAGCCCAUUUCCAAGGCAAAAAAAAGAAAAUUGAAAGGAAAAAAAAAAGAAUAAGAAAAAAGAAAAGCCACAUGAGUUGUAGGAGAAGUUCUCACGGAAGCAGCUAAGAUGAGCUGGCUGCUGCAUUUGACCGUCAGCCUUUGUGGGAGGCCAGUUUUUCAUAAGCCAGUCCCAGAAGCUGUCGUUCAGAAGAGGAAGAGCAACAAAGACAGCUCUGUCAGCAACGAGAAAAUGGAAGUCACAGGCAAAACCAGAAAACGCUGUCCCCUGGAAUCAUCAUGAUCUGCAGGAUAAUUGUGCCAAGCUCGGACGCCCAGGAGUGGACGCUGAUGGCCAUGCCAGGGUCAGGUGGACUCCUAUUGUUCUCAUUUCUAAGCAAUGAGCUUGUCUUAACCUCUUUCCUGUGUCCCAGUUUUAAAAAAAAAAGUUUUCUUUGUCUCACUCAGACAAAUGCAGCUUCACAAUGAGCUACCCUCUCCUGCAGACAGACCUCUUAGCUUCUCAGUGAGCUACCCUCCCCUGCAGACAGGCCUCUUAGCUUCUCAGUGAGCUACCCUCUCCUGCAGACAGACCUCUUUGCGUAGACCCGUCCACUCUCAGGGAGCUUGUGUUUCUCUUGCUUGAAGAGAGCAAUUUCUUAGAGAAAGGAGCAUGGAGGGGUGGAGGGGGCAAAGCUGCUUGCUGCCUCUUUUUCUCAUAUUGGUGCCUCAAUCUCAGCCUCAGCUUCGGAAAAUAUGGUAGGGCUUAGCCCAGAGGACAAGGAUCACAGGUCUCAGGCCACAGUAGGUGUUUAGGCUCGGGGGGGGGGGGGGCAAGGGGCGGGGAAAGCUGUCAUGCAUCCAUCUAUAAGGAUUUCUUAGCUCUUUGACAAUUUUAAGAGUACAUCUGGCAAAAGGACACUGUCUGCUAACAUCUCAAACUCAACAGCAAUAAACAAGUUCGAAGACUUGGCCACUAUGGCAGAAUAGAAAGAAACCAGCAGGCCUCAUCUGGGGGCUUGGGAUGAGGAAUGAGAUCUUUAAAUGAUAUAAAGUAAAAACGAGCCUUGACAUUCUUGUUUUUCUUUUUUCCUUUUUUAAGAUGAAUCUUUUCUCAAAAGUCCGGAGUUGAGGAAAGUGAUGACGGGCAGAGGCAGAUGCAGACGAACUGGAAACCCACCACAGCUGGAAUGAGGAGGCUCAAAGGACGUAGAAGCCCCCAUAUCCAGCUCUCAGAAUACUGAAAUAGUGGAUUCCAAGAAAUUAAAAGUGCCCUAGGAGCCUCAGGCUUGGAAAAGGAAAAGGCUGAGGGGGCUCUAGUCCCCAGAAGGACAUUUCACUCAGUGUUGACAAGCUGUCAGACGGCCAAGUAGCAGGCAGGAUGGAGCAGAGACAAGGAUGGCUCAGGGAUGGCUGGACCCGACCUUCCCCAGGGCUCCUCAGUUAUUCACGCUCUGCUCUUUGUUUAAACUAAAACUUCAUCUCAAGACCCCAAAGAUGGACUUCAGGGGAGGGGGGCACUUGACACCCCAUCUCUCUCCCUAAUGUAGCUACUCUGGAAACAAACAAACACUUUUUUUUUAUCAUUAUUGCUUGUUUUCUGAGGGCAAGUCACUGGGCUCAAUGUGAGAGCUACUGGGGCCCAGACUAUCCCCAGUUGCUCCAGAAACAGUGCUUGCUAUUUGGUAGACAUUAAGCACGCCAUGUAGUCUGAGGGAACCUCAGGUCUGUCUUAGUAAUUCUACUUCUUGUCCGGGUUCUGGGUACUACCUUCAUUCUACCAGGGAGCUCAGGUAACUCAGCUAACUAACAUAAAGACCAGCCCUUCUAUUGGGAUCCAGGUCAAAUGAAAACAGGGAAGAAAGAUGGGGGAGAAGAGAAGGCAAAGAAACUACUGUUUUACAAUUUGUCAUUCAUUUUUAAUGCUUGCUGUAUCCCACUCUGUGCCAACCUGUGUUAGGUACCAGAAAGAUACCUGUGGGUGAAGUGUCCCUCCACCGCGAGUCUUUCAGAGCUUCUGGGAUGAUGUUGACCACUGAAACAGCACUCAAUGCAAGGAGAGCGUGAGACCCAGAGGAGACUUUAUGCAAGCAAGCAGUUUAACAGAAGAUAAGAUAAGCAGCUAGCUGGAGAGGGAGGUUUGCACAAGUUUGCAGUUUCACAGAACCUAAGAUCUGCUGUAAAUGUCUAUCCAGUACCUGCAUAGAUGUGACACCACUAAGAGAUGUAGCAGUGAUGGGUCCAAGGAACUGGGAAGGAUAGAGUUCUGGGGUUUCCAUGGUGUUGAAUGAAAAGAUCAGGAUUGGAGAGGGCAAUGCUGACUGACUCCCUGGGAUGGAUGGUGUCUUAGUCAGGGUUUCUACUCCUGCACAAACAUCAUGACCAAGAAGCAAGUUGAGGAAGAAAGGGGUUAUUCGGCUUACACUUCCAUGCUGCUGUUCAUCACCAAAGGAAGUCAGGACUGGAACUCAAGCAAAGCAAGAAGCAGGAGCUGAUGCAGAGGCCAUGGAGGGAUGUUACUUACUGGCUUGCUUCCCCUGGCUUGCUCAACUUGCCUACUUAUAGAGCCCAAGACUACCAUCCCAGGGAUGGUACCACCCACAAGGGGCCCUCCUCUUGAUCACUAAUGGAGAAAAUGCCUUACAGCUGGAUCUCAUGGAGGCAUUUCCUCAACUGAAGCUCCUUUCUCUGUGGUAACUCCAGCUUGUGUCAAGUUGACAUACAGCCAGCCAGUACAGAUGGGCUGCAAUGAUUUUACUGUGGACUCAACUUGCUGUAAGGUCUCCUGUCACAAGUAAGUUUAAGCUGCUAUUGAAGGGAGCUGGUCUGAGGAAGGCCAGAUGUUUGGGAGACACUGAGGUCUCCCACCAAAAGUCUAACACUCUUUCUUAGCCAGGCAGCAGUUUAGUACUUCCCAUGUGCUGGCUGCCCAAGAGAUUCUCAAGAACCCACGAGGCCAGAGAGUUAACACCAUGGGCAGCACCCUCCUGGGUCUUAGAAGGCCUGGAGAGGCAGCUAAGAAAAAUUCCUGUCAGAGGGACACAUCUAGGAAUGGGUAAGAACAAUGCUGAUGGUAUGUCAGCAGCUGCCAGAAAGACAAAAGGUUUGAUUCUUUCUGGCUUCUUUAGAAAAACCUGAAAAUUCCAUUCCUUUAAGAUAUCAAUUGCCCACUGUAGGCACUGUCCCUUUUCCUUUUAAGAAUUGAUUCCAACUUCAAAUUAACAUGUAGUGAUUGCACAUAUUUAUGGGGUACAGAGUAGUGUUUCGAUACACACACACGCAUGUGUUUGUGUGUGUGUGUGUGUGUGAGAGAGAGAGAGAGAGAGAGGGAGAGAGAGAGAGAGAGAGAGAGAGAGAGAGAGUCUGAUAGGUACCUGGAGCACCCAUCAUCUCAAAACACUUGAGAGAGCCAACUUACAAAGAGAAACUUGUUGGCCUGGUUCACAGUUUUGGAGAUCUCAGCCCAUGAUCAGCUGGCCCCAUUGCUUUGGGCCUCUGGAAAGACAGCAUAUCCUUGUGGGUAGUAUUUGCAGGGAAAACUGUUCAUCUCAUGACCAGGAAGUAAGAAAGAGAACUGGGAGAAACCAGGGCCCACAAUUCCUCUCAGGCACAUUCAGAGACCUGAAGACGCCCCACUAGUUCUUACCUCUUGGAGGUCCCUCUACCUGCUGGGGACCAAGCUUUUACCACAUAGACCUUUAAUGCCGUGCUUUGUGGCUGCCCUCCUGCAGGGCCUGGGCCUGUAGCCCAUCUCAUUGUCCACCAUUUUGGUGGUAAUAUUGACUUAUAUGCAUGUAUCUUCCUCCCUGACCCCUGGAUAAGCAUCUGAGAGAGGCAGAAAGCUAUCAGAUGACCCUUCUUCUGGGGACCAAUUCCAUUCUGGCAGUGUGGGGGAAUGUUCAGAGGACUCUAGAAACCUCAGAGAGGUCUGCUCCUCCUGCCUGAUGGUGCUGAGUUCCUCCCAGAGCUGACAUUAAGGACAGAGGGCAUUCAGCCCUCUCCACCUCUAGCCCAAGACUCCUCAGUGAUCCAGGGGCUGGCCCCUUUCUAGGUGGCAACCCCUGGAGACGCCAAGCCCCCAUAUUAUUGAGGCUGCAAACCCUAUAACAUGCCUUUUUCUCAGAGCUCCAGAAGGAGUCCUUAAGGCUAAUGCUUCAACUAUGCCACUUGUGAAGCACUCUCCAUAUCUAGACCACAUGGAAUGUGUGUAGAACAUAUUUCUGGAAGAAGGGGGCCUAAAAUGUCAGCCACACAUCCACCGCUACUGUCUGCCACACUCUGAGAGCACACUUCCAUAGUUGCUGUGCUUCCUCUGCCAAUACUGGGCCAAACCCACUUCACCUUUACACCCUCCUGAGGUUGGCACUAUGCUUUAUGCAGAAGCCUAUUCAAAUACACCAUCUACCAGUGAGUAGCAAACGCUCUCCUCCUGUGAUGACCCAAAUCUUUAGAUGCUCAAGCCUCUUACAUCAAAUGCCACAGUAUUUACAUAUAACCUAUGUAGAUCUUACUCUGAGCUUUAAACCAUAAUGUCAGUGCUAUGGAAAUACCUCUGUGGUAUCAUUUAGGGAACAGUUAAGAAAAAGUCCACACAUGCUCAGCUCAGUGCAGGUGUGAUCAUUUUUCGUAACUUCCCACCUGCAUUUGGCAGAGUCCGUGGACGAGGAACCAGCAGACAUGGGGGGUUGCCUAUAUACUAACCAUCAUUGCUUCUGCUGGUAACUACCUGGGUGGAUGGGUGUUCUCAAAGGGCUGUCUCUUCAUUUCUAUCUCUAAAAUAACCAAAAGCUUGAAGAGAAAUAACCAAAACCUUGAAGAGAAGGCUGGGUUCUCUCCAUCUGGUGUGAUCUGCAGUUUGCCACAGCACUGCAUACCCAGCUGCUCUUUAUUUUUUGACUCUGGAGACUCUCCUAUGAAGAACUUGGUGGGCCCCAAGGACCUUCCAUCCCUUAGCAGCUGUGCCUGGGGUCAAGGUGACAUCCAGGCUUCAACUGACUAGGGACCAAGAAAGGUGUUUAAUAAAGACUUUGUUAUUGAAA